rnacentral:misc_RNA from 1 species
GAUGAAGAACGUAGCGAAAUGCGAUACGUAAUGUGAAUUGCAGAUUUCAGUGAAUCAUCGAAUCUUUGAACGCACAUUGCGCCCGCUAGUAUUCUGGCGGGCAUGCCUGUUCGAGCGUCAUUUCAACCAUCAAGCCCUAGGCUUGCGUUGGAGCCCUGCGGCUGCCGCAGGCUCCCAAAUCCAGUGGCGGGCUCGUCGUCGUACCGAGUGCAGUAAACAUCCUCGCUCAGGGAACGUAACGGGUUCUUGCCGUGAAACCCCCCACAUAUCAAGGUUGACCUCGGAUCAGGUAGGAAUACCCGCUGAACUUAAGCAUAUCAAUAAGCGGAGGA